rfam:Candidatus Nanosalinarum sp. J07AB56 genomic scaffold scf_7180000039101, whole genome shotgun sequence.
ACUGGCGGCCAUAGCGAGGGGGUAACACCCGUACCCAUCCCGAACACGGAAGUAAAGUCCCUCAGCGAUUGUGUCGGUACUGCCUUUCGGCGGGAGAACGCAGACGCUGCCAGGC